rnacentral:rRNA from 1 species
CAGUAGCCACGGUAAUACGAAGGGUGCAAGCGUUAAUCGGAAUUACUGGGCGUAAAGCGUGCGUAGGCGGUGAGUUAAGUCUGCUGUGAAAUCCCCGGGCUCAACCUGGGAAUGGCAGUGGAUACUGGCUCGCUAGAGUGUGUCAGAGGAUGGUGGAAUUCCCGGUGUAGCGGUGAAAUGCGUAGAGAUCGGGAGGAACAUCAGUGGCGAAGGCGGCCAUCUGGGACAACACUGACGCUGAGGCACGAAAGCGUGGGGAGCAAACAGGAUUAGAUACCCGCGUGUCCCUGUCUCUUAUACA